rnacentral:rRNA from 1 species
GUGGUGUAGGGGUAAAAUCCGUAGAGAUCACCAGGAAUACCGAUGGCGAAGGCGAUCUGCUGGAACAAUACUGACGCUGAGGCGUGAAAGCGUGGGAGCAAACAGGAUUAGAUACCCUGGUAGUCCCACGCCCUAAACGAUGAACACUAGUCGUCGGGAUGCUAGUCAUCUCGGUGAUGCACUUAACAGAUUAAGUGUUCCGCCUGGGGAGUACGGUCGCAAGAUUAAAACUCAAAGGAAUAGACGGGGACCCGCACAAGUGGUGGAGCAUGUGGUUUAAUUCGAAGAUACGCGAAGAACCUUACCUAGCCUUGACAUUGAAGAAACACAGUAGAGAUACAGUGGUGCCCUUCGGGGAAUCUGAAAACAGGUGCUGCACGGCUGUCGUCAGCUCGUGUCGUGAGAUGUUGGGUUAAGUCCCGCAACGAGCGCAACCCUCGUCCUUAGUUGCUAGCAGUUCGGCUGAGCACUCUAAGGAGACUGCCUUCGUAAGGAGGAGGAAGGUGAGGACGACGUCAAGUCAUCAUGGCCCUUAUGGCUAGGGCUACACACGUGCUACAAUGGGGCGUACAGAGUGUUGCGAUACCGCGAGGUGGAGCUAAUCACUUAAAGCGUCUCUCAGUUCGGAUUGGAGUCUGCAACUCGACUCCAUGAAGCUGGAAUCACUAGUAAUCGUAGAUCAGCAAUGCUACGGUGAAUACGUUCCCGGGUCU